AACAUAAUGAGAUUGUGUCAAAAAAGUUUUUAUGAGUCAUUGGCAUGUGAGAUCAAUAUACCUGCAUGGUAGUCGUAGGUUCUGACGGAAAUGACUGCAUUAUGCUGUCAUGUGUUACCGUCAGGACUUGACUGGUGUGCGGAUACU